ensembl:ncRNA lncRNA:CR44076 long non-coding RNA:CR44076
GCGGCUGUCAACAUUUUGUACAUUAUUACGUGGUAUACAAUACAUAAUGCCAUUAUUAUCAUAAGCGUGCUUUUUUGUGGAUACAACAAAAGCAGCGGCAAGUAAGUUUCUGGACAAAAAAAAAAAAAAAAAACACGGCACAAGCGUAAGGACCUCCACCAUCCAGCGCGACUAGAGGCAGGAAACAUGCAAGUGCCCAAGUGCCUUCUUUUGUUCUUCGUCACGUACUGCGGUGCCAUGGACCCUCCUCGCCGUUCGCCCAUCGGAAAUAACCGAAACCCCAUCCACGGAAACAACCAAACAAGUGUAGCUGUAGCACAACCACCUUGCAACAACCACACGGAACCGGCUCGGAGGACCGCGGACCAAGAGGAGGACCAAACCUACCGCAGACUCGAGUUUGUGCUGCUCUGCUGCAAAAAGGAAGCGGAAAGGAGCCUCAUCAAGAGCGGUUCGAUCACUGAAGAGAGCUUCAGACACCCUGGAACAUGAAGGGUAUAUAGGGUUCUCC